AUUGAACGCUGGCGGCAUGCUUUACACAUGCAAGUCGAACGGUAACAGGCCUUCGGGUGCUGCCGAGUGGCGAACGGGUGAGUAAUGCAUCGGAACGUGCCCAGAGGUGGGGGAUAACGCAGCGAAAGCUGUGCUAAUACGGCAUGUGAUCUGAGGAUGAAAGCGGGGGACCAAGCAGCAAUGUUUGGCCUCGCGCCUCUGGAGCGGCCGAUGUCAGAUUAGGUAGUUGGUGGGGUAAAGGCCUACCAAGCCGACGAUCUGUAGCUGGUCUGAGAGGACGACCAGCCACACUGGGACUGAGACACGGCCCAGACUCCUACGGGAGGCAGCAGUGGGGAAUUUUGGACAAUGGGCGCAAGCCUGAUCCAGCAAUGCCGCGUGCGGGAAGAAGGCCUUCGGGUUGUAAACCGCUUUUGUACGGAACGAAAAGGCUCUGGCUAAUACCUGGGGCUGAUGACGGUACCGUAAGAAUAAGCACCGGCUAACUACGUG
rnacentral:rRNA from 1 species